rnacentral:rRNA from 1 species
GGCGUGCCUAACACAUGCAAGUCUACUGGAAAUUACCGCUUGCGGUAAUGGAAGGUGGCGAACGGGUGAGUAACGCGUAGAUAAUCUGCCCUCUGAUAUGGGAUAUGCUUGUGAAAACGAGAGCAAUACCAUGCACGGUCUUAAAUUGGCAUCGAUUUUAGAUCAUAGACUAUAAGUUGUUGGAGGAUGAGUCUGCGUACCAUUAGUUAGUUGGUAGGGUAAAAGCCUACCAAGACAUCGAUGGUUAGCUGGUCUGAGAGGAUGAUCAGCCACACUGGGACUGAGAUACGGCCCAGACUCCUACGGGAGGCAGCAGUGAGGAAUAUUGCGCAAUGGAAGGAAUUCUGACGCAGCAACGCCGCGUGAGUGACGAAGCAGGUAACUGUGUAAAGCUCUGUUAAACGGGAGGAAAAGAUAUGUUAGACGCAUAUAUUGACAGUACCGUUAGAGGAAGCUCCGGCUAACUCCGUGCCAGCAGCCGCGGUAAUACGGGGGGAGCAAGCGUUAUCCGGAAUUAUUGGGCGUAAAGCGCAUGUAGGUGGGCUAUUAAGUCAGUUGUGAAAUAUCAAGGCUCAACCUUGACAUGCAAUUGAAACUGGUAGUCUUGAGUAUGAGAGGGGACAGCGGAAUACCUAGUGUAGCGGUGGAAUGCGUAGAUAUUAGGUAGAACACCAGUGGCGAAGGCGGCUGUCUGGCUCAUAACUGACACUGAGAUGCGAAAGCAUGGGUAGCAAACAGGCUUAGAUACCCUGAUAGUCCAUGCUGUAAACGAUGGGAACUA